rnacentral:rRNA from 1 species
GCAUAUAUUUCCCGCAUGGGUUUUAUAUUAAAGAAAUUCGGUAUGAGAUGGGGAUGCGUUUCCAUUAGUUUGUUGGGCGGGGUAACGGCCCACCAAGACUACGAUGGAUAGGGGUUCUGAGAGGAAGGUCCCCCACAUUGGAACUGAGACACGGUCCAAACUCCUACGGGAGGCAGCAGUGAGGAAUAUUGGUCAAUGGACGCGAGUCUGAACCAGCCAAGUAGCGUGAAGGAUGACUGCCCUAUGGGUUGUAAACUCCUUUUAUAUGGGAAUAAAGUGGUCCACGUGUGGAUUUUUGUAUGUACCAUAUGAAUAAGGAUCGGCUAACUCCGUGCCAGCAGCCGCGGUAAUACGGAGGAUCCGAGCGUUAUCCGGAUUUAUUGGGUUUAAAGGGAGCGUAGGCGGAUUGUUAAGUCAGUUGUGAAAGUUUGCGGCUCAACCGUAAAAUUGCAGUUGAUACUGGCAGUCUUGAGUGCAGUAGAGGUGGGCGGAAUUCGUGGUGUAGCGGUGAAAUGCUUAGAUAUCACGAAGAACUCCGAUUGCGAAGGCAGCUCACUGGAGUGUAACUGACGCUGACGCUCGAAAGUGUGGGUAUCAAACAGGAUUAGAUACCCUGGUAGUCCA